ACGGCCAUAUACCACAUUGAAAACACCGGUUCUCGUCUGAUCACCGAAGUUAAGCAAUGUCGGGCUCGGUCAGUACUUGGAGGGUGGCCACCUGGGAACAUUGGGUGCUGUAGGCU
rnacentral:rRNA from 1 species